GAUGAACGCUGGCGGCGUGCCUAAUACAUGCAAGUCGAGCGAACAGACGAGGAGCUUGCUCCUUUGACGUUAGCGGCGGACGGGUGAGUAACACGUGGGUAACCUACCUAUAAGACUGGGAUAACUUCGGGAAACCGGAGCUAAUACCGGAUAAUAUUUCGAACCGCAUGGUUCGAUAGUGAAAGAUGGCUUUGCUAUCACUUAUAGAUGGACCUGCGCCGUAUUAGCUAGUUGGUAAGGUAACGGCUUACCAAGGCAACGAUACGUAGCCGACCUGAGAGGGUGAUCGGCCACACUGGAACUGAGACACGGUCCAGACUCCUACGGGAGGCAGCAGUAGGGAAUCUUCCGCAAAGGGCGAAAGCCUGACGGAGCAACGCCGCGUGAGUGAUGAAGGUCUUCGGAGCGUAAAACUCUGUUAUUAGGGAAGAACAAACGUGUAAGUAACUGUGCACGUAUUGACGGUACCUAAUCAGAAAGCCACGGCUAACUACGUG
rnacentral:rRNA from 1 species